rnacentral:lncRNA from 1 species
UAACGGGCUCCUUCUUCCCCAGGGACAAGAAUGGCUAGACUGCCCUUGGCUGUGAGCACUCCUCAGUGCUCCUGGGGCUGAGGCUGAGCUGGCAGCCAUGGGGCUGGGAAGGCUCCAGGCUUGGAUGCUGGGCCUGCCCACGGCUGUGGUCUAUGGCUCCCUGGCCCUCUUCAUCUCCGUCCUGCACAACGUGUUCCUGCUUUACUAUGUGGACACCUUUGUCUCGGUGUACAAGAUCAACAAAACUGCCUUCUGGGUUGGAGAGGUAGGCCAGCACUGGGUGGGAGCCAGGCGGAUUGCAAGGCUGGGUCCCACCCAGUCUGGAGCUUGGGGCUGGCCAGGUUGCCCACCUCAAUUCAGCAAGAAAAGCUGGAGCUGGAGCUUUAAUAAAUGUUCAUUUAUCAGCUGGAUAAAUUCACCCUGGAUGGGUGGGAGUUUGAUGGGGGGCGGUGGCUGGUAGAGUGGGUUUUAGCAGAGGGACUGACCUGAGCAGAGGUUUGCAGGCAGGAAAGCUGUGCUCAUCUUGAGGGGUGGCGAGCAGGCUGGGUGGGGAAACCUCCGGAGAGGAGGUUGCCUGGAGCCCACCUGCCCCAUCUCCUCUUUGCCCACAGACGGUGUUUCUCCUCUGGAACAGCCUCAACGACCCCCUCUUCGGUUGGCUGAGUGACCGUCAGUUCCUCAGCUCCCAGCCCCGGUUUGUGUCCUGUGGGUGGGUCACAACGGGUCCUGUCCCAUCCCACUCCUCCCCAGGGGGUGUCUGUGUUUGGGGUGGGGAGAAAAAAAGGAAACCAUUUUCAGCUUUUGACCAGGCCCCCUCCCUUCCCAAGGUCAGUCAGGCUCUGGCCAUGUGGGAGAAUGGCCUUGACUAACUGUUGCCUUGCUCACGUGGGAAGAGAUUUACCUCAGCUUGCCUUGUCAGGUCCUUAGAACUGGGAGCUGUACAGCAAACACUCUCUGUUGCUUCUGGCAGAUUCCUUUACCCCAUCCUGCUUGGGCCCACCACUGCCCCCAACCCUGAGAAAUAGGUGUCCCACCACCCUUUGGCCAUCAGCCCUGGCAGGCUUGGCAAGGGACCAGACAAGAGAGUGUACCCCCUGGAGAGUUGUGCUUCCUAAAUCAGAGGCUGAGGACUCAGGGCUCAGUGGGACAACCCUGGUGUGAGUUCCAUACUCUGGGCCUCUGUCCUUCCUCUGGGGCCUGGGCAGGGGGGGAACUGGGGCUCAUCAAGUUUGUAAAAGCAUCUCCCAACUUUCCUCCUCUCUCUGGCAGGUCGGGUGCCGGGCUCUCCUCCAGGGCCGUGGUGCUGGCACGGGUGCGGGCCCUGGGCUGGCACGGGCCGCUGCUGGCAUUGUCGUUCCUGGCAUUCUGGGUGCCCUGGGCCCCAGCUGGCCUGCAGUUCUUGCUGUGCCUGUGCCUCUAUGAUGGUUUCCUGACUCUCGUGGACCUGCACCAUCAUGCCUUGCUGGCUGACCUGGCCCUCUCUGCCCAUGACCGUACCCACCUCAACUUCUACUGCUCCCUC